rnacentral:sRNA from 1 species
AACGUUGCGUCAGCAACGGCCCGUAGGGCAAGGCGAAGCCGAGUCAUCCUGCACGACCCACCA